rnacentral:pre_miRNA from 1 species
AGUGGGAUUGCUGGGUCAAAUGGUGGUUCCAUUCCAAGUUUUCUGAGGCAUCUCUAUACUUCUUUCCAGAUUGGAUGCACCAAUUUGCAGUCCCACUGGCAAU